rnacentral:lncRNA from 1 species
GAUAUGGCAUAUGGUGAGAACUAAAUCUUGAUUAUUUUGAGAUUCGAGGAUGUUCAGUUUAUGUCUAGGACAGUAGGUGGAUAUGUUAGAGGAUAGAUCUGUAAAGUUCAUCCUAAAAGAGUUUGGGAUACUACCUUCUGAAAGGAUUACAAUGUGAUUGUAAUCCGACAUGCUAUCUUCUUAAAAAAUUAUUUAAUCAAGAUAAAAUAGUGGGAGAAAAGUUAAGCUCAAAGAGAGUAUCUCUAAAGAGCAGUGAGCCUUGGGACUUUAAAAAUCUAUUCAUUAUAAGCCAGUAGAUGUAUAUUCCUCCUUCAUCUCAUACACAU